UGGGGAAUAUUGCGCAAUGGGGGGAACCCUGACGCAGCCAUGCCGCGUGAAUGAAGAAGGCCUUCGGGUUGUAAAGUUCUUUCGGUAUUGAGGAAGGUUGAUGUGUUAAUAGCACAUCAAAUUGACGUUAAAUACAGAAGAAGCACCGGCUAACUCCGUGCCAGCAGCCGCGGCAAUACGGAGGGUGCGAGCGUUAAUCGGAAUAACUGGGCGUAAAGGGCACGCAGGCGGUUAUUUAAGUGAGGUGUGAAAGCCCCGGGCUUAACCUGGGAAUUGCAUUUCAGACUGGGUAACUAGAGUACUUUAGGGAGGGGUAGAAUUCCACGUGUAGCGGUGAAAUGCGUAGAGAUGUGGAGGAAUACCGAAGGCGAAGGCAGCCCCUUGGGAAUGUACUGACGCUCAUGUGCGAAAGCGUGGGGAGCAAACAGGAUUAGAUACCCUGGUAGUCCACGCUGUAAACGCUGUCGAUUUGGGGGUUGGGGUUUAACUCUGGCGCCCGUAGCUAACGUGAUAAAUCGACCGCCUGGGGAGUACGGCCGCAAGGUUA
rnacentral:rRNA from 1 species